AAUGAACGUUGGCGGCGUGGAUUAGGCAUGCAAGUCGUGCGAGAAUCUCCCUUCGGGGAGAGGACAGCGGCGAAAGGGAGAGUAACGCGUGGUUACAUACCCUCGGGACCGGGAUAGUAGCGGGAAACUGCUAGUAAUACCGGAUAAUAUCUUUGGAUCAAAGGUGUGAUUCCGCCCGAGGAUUGGACCGCGUUCUAUUAGCUUGUUGGCGGGGUAAUGGCCCACCAAGGCGACGAUGGAUACCGGGUGUGAGAGCAUGGCCCGGCUCACUGGGACUGAGGCACUGCCCAGACACCUACGGGUGGCUGCAGUCGAGAAUCUUCGGCAAUGGGGGCAACCCUGACCGAGCGACGCCGCGUGCGGGAUGAAGGCCUUCGGGUUGUAAACCGCUGUCAGUUGGGAGGAAGUGCCAGGGGGUUCUCCCCUUGGUUUGACCGAUCUUCAGAGGAAGGACGGGCUAAGUUCGUGCCAGCCGCCGCAGUAAGAC
rnacentral:rRNA from 1 species